rnacentral:tRNA from 1 species
GAGGGUAUAGCUCAGUGGAAGAGUGCUUGCUUAGCAUGCACAAGGUCCUGGGUUCAAUCCCCAGCACUUCA